CCUACGGGAGGUAGCAGUGGGGAAUAUUGGGCAAUGGGCGCAAGCCUGACCCAGCAACGCCGCGUGAAGGAAGAAGGCUUUCCGGUUGGAAACUUCUUUUGUCAGGGACGAAGCAAGUGACGGUACCUGACGCUUACGCCACGGCUAACUACGUGCCACCAGCCGCGGGAAUACGUAGGUGGCAAGCGUUCUCCGGAUUUACUGGGUGUAAAGGGCGUGUAGGCGGGACUGCAAGUCAGGUGUGAAAACCACGGGCUCAACCUGUGGCCUGCAUUUGAAACUGUAGUUCUUGAGUACUGGAGAGGCAGACGGAAUUCCUGGUGUAGCGGUGAAAUGCAUAGAUAUUAGGAAGAACACCAGUGGCGAAGGCGGUCUGCUGGACAGCAACUGACGCUGAGGCGCGAAAGCGUGGGGAGCGAACAGGAUUAGAUACCCGAGUAGUC
rnacentral:rRNA from 1 species